GAAUUGUGGCUCAGUAGUAGAGUGCUCGCCUAGCAUGUGCGAGGCCCUGGGUUCGAUCCUCAGUAACA
rnacentral:tRNA from 1 species